rnacentral:rRNA from 1 species
UACGAAGGGGGCUAGCGUUGCUCGGAAUCACUGGGCGUAAAGCGCACGUAGGCGGAUUGUUAAGUCAGGGGUGAAAUCCUGGAGCUCAACUCCAGAACUGCCUUUGAUACUGGGGAUCUCGAGUCCGGGAGAGGUGAGUGGAACUGCGAGUGUAGAGGUGAAAUUCGUAGAUAUUCGCAAGAACACCAGUGGCGAAGGCGGGUCUCUGGGCCGAUACUGACGCUGAGGAGCGAAAGCGUGGGGAGCGAACAGG